rnacentral:rRNA from 1 species
AACGAACGCUGGCGGCGUGCUUAACACAUGCAAGUCGAACGAGAAAGCGGGCUUCGGCCCGCAAGUAAAGUGGCAGACGGGUGAGUAACACGUGGGUAAUCUGCCCGGAGGUGGGGAAUAACCCUCCGAAAGGAGGGCUAAUACCGCAUGAUAUCGCGGAAGCUCGCUUCUGCGAUCAAAGCUAGCCUCUUCAUGAAAGCUAGCGCCACCGGAGGAGCCCGCGGCCCAUUAGCUUGUUGGUGAGGUAACGGCUCACCAAGGCGACGAUGGGUAGCCGGCCUGAGAGGGCGAACGGCCACACUGGAACUGAGACACGGUCCAGACUCCUACGGGAGGCAGCAGUGAGGAAUCUUGCGCAAUGGGGGAAACCCUGACGCAGCGACGCCGCGUGGAGGACGAAGGCCUUCGGGUCGUAAACUCCUGUCAAGCGGGACGAAUGCCGUGGGGAUGAAUAAGCCUCACGGUUGACGGUACCGUUGAAGGAAGCCCCGGCUAACUCCGUG